UACGUAGGGUGCGAGCGUUGUCCGGAAUUAUUGGGCGUAACGGGCUCGUAGGCGGUCUGUCGCGUCGAAAGUGAAAACCCAGGGCUUAACCCUGGGCCUGCUUCCGAUACGGGCAGACUAGAGGUAUGCAGGGGAGAACGGAAUUCCUGGUGUAGCGGUGAAAUGCGCAGAUAUCAGGAGGAACACCGGUGGCGAAGGCGGUUCUCUGGGCAUUACCUGACGCUGAGGAGCGAAAGUGUGGGGAGCGAACAGG
rnacentral:rRNA from 1 species